rnacentral:tRNA from 1 species
AUGUAAGUAGUAUAAUAGAGUAUAUUGCUUUUCCAAAGCAAGGGCCUAAUUAAAUUAGUUUACAUA